GGGGAUUUGGCUCAGUGGUAGAGCACUUGCCUAGCAAGCACAAGGCCCUGGGUUCGAUCCCCAGCUCCA
rnacentral:tRNA from 1 species